CCCCAACACCAGCCCGCACUUGCUAAAAACUUUCUGUUCAAUUCAUCACUUGGCAGGGUGGAGUAAGGUCUAUUUAGCUCUCCAUUUGGCUGUACUUCAGAAUUACCUGAGCCACUAUUAAAGCUCCCAGUACCCAGGCUCCACGCUGGACCCAUUACAUCAGAAUUUCUGGGGGUGGGAGUGUCAAGAAAGCCUUUUAAAGAUCCUCUCCUUUGCCCACCCGCUACAACUGAUACCCGUAAGCAGAGCCAGGAUGAGAGCCGGGAAUAUUCCUACAUUCUGGCUGCCUCUCCUGGCCUAACCCCGGCCCCCGCUCUGACCCCUCAGGGCUCUCUCAAACCACUAAUCUGGGGCUUAAUAAGCAGGGGUGAGGCUGGGGUGAUCCCUGCCAUCUGUGAGGCUGCCUCUGGCUGUGAAGGAUGUAACAGGGUCACCAGCAGCGCGGGCUGACCCCUCACACGUGCAAUUUACGAGGCAAAAAUUUCUCUCUUCAUAAAAAAGUCCCAUGUUCCUGUCACGAAGGGCGGAUUCUUUACCAGCUGAGCCACAAGGGAAAACCCAGUGGCAGGCACAAGGGCCUCCAUUACUCCGCCCCUGCAACCCGAUGUGGGAGCGAGCCCUCUGUCUUUGGUUGCCCCUCCAUGGUUCCACUUUGUACUUCUAUGACCCAGCACUGCCUGGUCAAGAAAGUGACUAGUGUGUCACUUGUACUGUAGAGCUUACAAAGCACCCUCACGUAAUCGCUAAUGCAGGCCUCCCAACAAGGAAAUGAUGUGUGCAUCAUCGCCACUUCAGGGUUGUGGGAAGUGAGGCUAAAGGUAUGAAGCACCAUGUCUGAGAUGCAAGUGGGCCUUAACAU
ensembl:lncRNA